rnacentral:tRNA from 1 species
CGCGGUGUGGAGCAGUCUGGUAGCUCGUUGGACUCAUAAUCCGAAGGUCGCAAGUUCAAAUCUUGUCACCGCAA